GACCAACUGGUGGCAGAGAACUACAAUUACUACAAGCUCCGAGACGCAUCACUUGUAAGUUGGAGAAAGACGAGUCUCCCACCCAAUUGGGGAAAGUGGUUCCACCAUAAAACUUGAUGGUUAGUUUCGCCAAAUUUACCGAAGGUUGUAGUCUUUCAAGUACACGUCUCUCUUUCACAAAAUCAUUGGAAACUUCAUGACCCCAUGCCAACUCUACAUCAUUGAGAUCUUUCUUAUCCUUCAGCAAGGCAUCAAUAACACCAGCUACAUUUUGCAGAUUCAAGAUUGAAAUUUUUCCUCGAAGGUGCAACAACUCCCUCAAUUCUGCAAUGCUUGAUCCAACAGAUUUCCCCAACAUAAAAACAGUCAGCGUUCUCAAACUUUUUAGUCUACCCAUAUGCGUAGGCAUCUCUUUUAUGUUAGUUCCACUAAUUUCAAGAUGACGCAAAUGAAUCAAUUUCCACAUGUCUGCAGGCAAUUCAACAAGAGAAGAACAACCUAACAACAACAGAGUCUGUAAAUUGUAGAGAGUGCACACUGUAUCUGGUAACCUUUUAAUUGCCGUAUAAGAGAGAUCAACAUAGCGCAAGUGGAUGUGGUUACCAAUGGAACUAGGUAAGUGAUUGAUAUUUUGAUAUCUUGACAAUGAAAAAGCCCGUAAACAUUUUUGUGCUGGCAGUAAAUCAUCUAGAACCUUAUUGCUUACAUAUCCACGAUCACGGCUAUCAUAUGGUGCUAAAGACACUGGAAAGAAGGUUCGCAAACACUCAACUCCUUUUAAUGGCUUAAAUUUUAGAGAUGUAUCAAAGUUUCCUCUCAUAUACGACAAGUGGCGAACUCUUUUAGGAACUUCAUGUGAAUUUUUCUGAUCGAACCUGAAACAAAACUCUCCAGACACAAACAUAGCCAAGUCAUUGAUGAGAUCAUGCAUAGUGAAACUUGGUUGGUCCAAUCUUGGUUUUUGAAAUAGUGAUCGCGAUAACAAUUCAUCAAAGUAUCUUUCACCAAUCUCCUCUAUUGUAUCCUCUCUCUCUGACUGUGGAAUUAAACCUUCUGCCACCCAUAGUAGAAUUACAUUUUCCCUUUCAAAUUCAUAGUGCUUUGGAAAAAUUGAGCAAUAAGCAAAACAUCGUUUCAAGUAAGUUGGAAGAAAUGGUAGCUCAAUCUUAGGGAAGGAAGAAUACUAUUAUUAGCAUGUGGAAGAUUCCAAAAAUUGCUAUUCAGUAUGUGAUUCCAUUCCCUGUAGUCUAGGUUGCAACUUAAGAGACCCCCUAAUAUUUUUGCAGCUAAAGGCAAACCGUUGCACUUGCAUGCAAUUUGCUUACCAAUUCCUUCCAAAUCUGGAUGAGCACUGGCGUUCUCAUUUCUAAAUGCAUGUUUUUCCAGUAACAAGCAGCAAUCCUCGUCCGAUAAUUUUUCCAGGUCAUGAAUUGGAAUAGUAUUGUACACGAUGGAUGCAACACGCCUAUUCCUUGUUGUUACAAUGACCUUACUUCCCUUCGCCCCAUACGUGAAAAGAGUUCGUAGACGAUCCCACUCAUCAUAGCUCUCAUUCCAAAGGUCAUCCAGGAUAAGUAAAAAUCUCUUUCCCAUCAAUUGUUCACUUAGUUGAACUUCAAGGGAAUUCAUACCCAAAUUAUCACAAGGUUUUUUAGUGAUUUCCUCAAUAAGGGUCUUAAUCACCCUCAAAGCCUCAUACUGUUCGGAAACACAAACCCAAGCAUUCGUAUCGAAAUGCUCUUUAACUUGUCCAUCAUUGUAAAGAAGUUGAGCAAGAGUUGUCUUACCAACCCCGCCCAUUCCGAAAAUAGGGACAACAGAAAAAUUACUGCUACUUUCAUUGUCAGAUAGCAGCAGUAGAGCUUUUAACUUUUCUUUAUCUCCAUCCCUUCCAUAGGUACAAAAUCCUUCCUCAACAACAGAAGUUGUGGGAGUUCUUUGUGAAACCUUGGACCCAACACCUCCUCUAAGACCGAGGACAUCCUUUUGUUUUGCAAGGUGUUCCAACUUGUUGAACAAAUCUUCUAUUCUACCG
rnacentral:lncRNA from 1 species